AAUUAAAAAAGAGGUUGCGGAGAUUAAAAGUAACUUAGACGAGAACGACGUAUUUGAUGACUCUAAGCGAAAGGAUGAUUCGCCGAAAUGCUAGUGUAACGUCAAUCAUUAGUGUUGGGACUUGGAAUAACAUUUCAAGAACUGUCGCGAUUUAUUUUGCGGAGCGCUUUUCAAUAA
rnacentral:ncRNA from 2 species